CAUGCCAUUGUCAAUUCUAAUGAUUUCCUCAUCCUCUGUCGACCCUGCGUACUUGUUUCCUUGUGUGUUUUGAAUGAAUUGUCGUUCAGUUCUGCGCGUCAAACUCAUUUCCUCCCUGUACAUUCGAUAUUCUGUGAACAAUUCGAUUUUCUUUUCACUUCCACAUGACAUGUAGAUCGAAGUAGUUAACUCAAAAAGAGAGGGACACUGCAUUCUACCACUCUUUCAUUUCCUCCCUGUACAUUCCAUACUCUGUGAAGAAGACCAAACGUCAGUUUAAGAAAGUUUUCCAUGAAUGAUCACGAACUGUUGAUUAAAACUGACCUCAACAGUUUAGGUUCAUUUAUUUACUAGAUUUUGCACUGAAUAAAUAUUAAUUUCUAUGCCUCUGUUCCUGUACUUCCACGUAUCUUAUCUUUAUUUACUUCUCUUAUUUUGUGAGGCUACUUCCCCCCCCCCACACACACACACAUUUUCUUCUGCAAAAGAGAAUUUUUCGCCUUCUGUUUUUACAUGUUCUUGUACGCGUUUUACUCAUCGCUGAGAUUCCUGUUAUUUAUUCCCAUGUCCGUAUUUUGAUUAAUUAAAGAUUUCAUUUUAUUUUAUUGGGUGUCUAGCCAUUAAUAAGACCUCACAAUUUCUUAAUCCCGUUUCUGUUUCUUUCUUUCUUUAUUAAGAUGUUCUUAAAUAAGCAAUUCAUUUUUUUUUUGUUUAGGUAAUACUGCGGCUACCUGCAUGAGGGACGGACGUCUGUUAUGCAUGUUACAAAUUCAUGAAACCAAUAUUCAGCGAUCCGACCGCUGCGCCGCCAGUUUCCCUGUAAUACUGCGGCUACCUGCAUGAGGGACGGACGUCUGUUAUGCAUGUUACAAAUUCAUGAAACCAAUAUUCAGCGAUCCGACCGCUGCGCCGCCAGUUUCCCUGUAAUACUGCGGCUACCUGCAUGAGGGACGGACGUCUGUUAUGCAUGUUACAAAUUCAUGAAACCAAUAUUCAGCGAUCCGACCGCUGCGCCGCCAGUUUCCCUGUAAUACUGCGGCUACCUGCAUGAGGGACGGACGUCUGUUAUGCAUGUUACAAAUUCAUGAAACCAAUAUUCAGCGAUCCGACCGCUGCGCCGCCAGUUUCCCUGUAAUACUGCGGCUACCUGCAUGAGGGACGGACGUCUGUUAUGCAUGUUACAAAUUCAUGAAACCAAUAUUCAGCGAUCCGACCGCUGCGCCGCCAGUUUCCCUGUAAGAUUUCUUUUUAUUUAAUUAAAAUUUUCGUAACAUACAUGAAUGAAUUCCAUCGGAUAUUUUUUAGGAUAAUUCAUUUCGGUUCAUAUUUUUUUUUAAUUUAAAUUUUCGUUACAUACCUGUUUAGGUUUCAUCACAGUUUUUUGCUAUAAUUUUUGUUUAACACCUAACACUUCUUUUGAGUAUCAUUUUCUUUUUCAUAACUAACAGUUC
rnacentral:lncRNA from 1 species